rnacentral:rRNA from 1 species
ACUAUAAUCCAAUUAGGGGAACCUGUCCUUUAAUUCGAUAAUCCACGAAAAUCUUACUUGUCCUAGCUUCAAUUACAGCUUAUAUACCGUCGUCUAGCCAGCCUUAUUGAAAGAACAAAAGCAAGCAAGAAAGGCUCAAUCCCUAAGAAGUCAGAUAAAGGCGUAGCCUAUGAAUAAGCGGGAGAUGGGUUACAAUUAAAAAUUUGAUAUUGGAAUCUUAAUGAAAUUUUAAGAGGAAAGAGGACUUAAAAGUAAUAUUUUAAAAAAGUUGAAAUAUGAAUACGGAAAUAUAGUGUGU